ACAACCAUCCUAUUUGAUCAUCCCCCUAAAAUAGCACAAACCAUAUGAAACAAGUGGAGCUGUGGACCCUGUCUUGGAGAGCAUGCAUGAGUAAUUAAAUAAUGUGCCCUUCUGCCACUGUUUUUGCAGGGAAGGGGAUUAAAAUCUGUGUUCACAGGCAGAGAGCAGGUGUCUGUGACGAGAUCUCAUGCUGUGACAUGCAUGCAGCACAUUCUUACAUGAAAAGCCCUGGCUGAUGAAAUGACCACAGGAAGACAACAUGGAACCCUCCUGGCACGAUCAGAAGCUUAAUUAAGUUUCUAAAGACCUUUUGUCAGGAGCAUAGCAAGGAACUUCAGUCUGGCUUUUGAAAGUGCUGAACACCCAAAACUCCUGUUAAGAUCCGGGAACUACAGCUGCAACAGAAGGGACUCAGCAAACAUUUAAAACAACUGUAUUUGUCAUGACCAUAAAAUUAAAGAGGCUAGAAUUCAAAAUGCUGGUGAGAACGUCAGGUUCACUAUUCAGAGAAGGAUGUUAAUGUGGGACGUGGCUCACAUGCCACACAAGCAAAGGUAAGGAAACUCUCGUCCUGAAUUUGCCUGAGAUGCUGAAUAGAACUGGAUGACCUCUCACACAGCAAGUCAUUCUGUUACACAUUUGUUUGUUGCAAGGUCAGGCUAAUUUUAUUCUCCAUUUCGCAUUGCUUUAAUCUAAACAUUGGAAGAGAUGAUGUUGGGGUAAAAGUCUCAGGAGACUGUGAGCAGCAUAUGGACUGUUUCACUUGAUAAACCAUAGAACCACCCCCCUGCAAGUGGGCAGGGAUGGAGUAAUUCUUCUACCGAAGUUGUUAAGAUAUCCUUGCAUCCCACGAGUCAGUAUCCUUGGUAUGUAAUUUCACUGAGAAGUCUGUAGGUAAGAUGCCUAUGGAAAUCAUU